CCUACGGGUCGCAGCAGUAGGGAAUCUUCGGCAAUGGACGAAAGUCUGACCGGGCAACGCCGCGUGAGUGAAGAAGGUUUUCGGAUCGUAAAACUCUGUUGGUAGAGAAGAACGUUGGUGAGAGUGGAAAGCUCAUCAAUUGACGGUAACUACCCAGAAAGGGACGGUUAACUACGUGCCAGCAGCCGCGGUAAUACGUAGGUCCCGAGCGUUGUCCGGAUUUAUUGGGCGUAAAGCGAGCGCAGGUGGUUUAUUAAGUCUGGUGUAAAAGGCAGUGGCUCAACCAUUGUAUGCAUUGGAAACUGGUAGACUUGAGUGCAGGAGAGGAGAGUGGAAUUCCAUGUGUAGCGGUGAGAUGCGUAGAUAUAUGGAGGAACACCGGUGGCGAAAGCGGCUCUCUGGCCUGUAACUGACGCUGAGGCUCGAAAGCGUGGGGAGCAAACAGGAUUAGAUACCCCAGUAGUC
rnacentral:rRNA from 1 species